GUGUGCCCAUGUGGUUUUUAAUCUUUUCCUCUCACCAGGGCCAAGAUUGAAAGGAUCUGUAAUUAAUGACUUGAAAAAUACUAAGCUGGAUUUAAAGAAAGAGACCCAAACAGUGGAAAAGCUCUACAUAACUACUCGUCUCCUUUACUUGAAGAAAUGCUGGAGUGCUCUGCAAAAAUUGCUAAGAUACUGAGGCAGUUCCCCCAUUAUCUCAGACAUCGAACUACACCUCAUAGCAACACAGAUCAACUGAAAACAGAGAGCAUCUGGUUU
rnacentral:lncRNA from 1 species